AUCUUCUUUGAUUUCUUUCUUAAGAGACUUGAAGUUCUUAUCAUACAAAUCUUUCACUUCCUUAGUUAGAGUCACACCAAGGUAUUUUAUAUUAUUUAUGACCUUUUUUAUUUUUUUGUUUUUCGUGACAGGGUUUCUCUGUAUAGCUCUGGCUGUCCUGGAACUCACUUUUUAGACCAGGCUGGCCUCACACUCAGAAAUCCGCCUGCCUCUGCCUCUCGAGUGCUGAGAUUAAAGGUGUGCGCUAUCACACCCGGCUCUCUUUAUGACUAUUUUGAAGAGUGUUGUUUCCCUAAUUUUUUUCUCAGCCUGUUUAUCCUUUGUGUAGAGAAAGGCCACUGAUUUGUUUGAGUUAAUUUUAUAUCCAACUACUUCACUGAAGUUGUUUAGGAGUUCUCUGAUAGAAUUUUGGGGUGACUUAAAUAUACUAUCAUAUCAUCUGCAAAUAGUGAUAUUUUGACUUCUUCCUUUCCGAUUUGUAUUCCUUUGAUCUCCUUUUGUUGUCUAAUUGCUCUAGCUAGGACUUCAAGUACUAUAUUGAAUAGGUAGGGAAAGAGUGGGCAGCCUUGUUUAGUCCCUGAUUUUAGAGGGGUUGCUUCAAGUUUCUCUCCAUUUAGUCUGAUGUUGGCUACUGGUUUGCUGUAUAUUGCUUUUAUUAUGAUUAGGUAUGGGCCUUGAAUUCCUGAUCUUUCCAAGACUUUUAUCAUCAACGGAGGUUGGAAUUUGUCAAAUUCUUUCUCAGCGUCCAAAGAGAUGAUCAUGUGGUUUUUGUCUUUGAGUUUGUUUAUCUAGUGGAUUAUGUUGAUAGAUUUCUGUAAAUUGAACCAUCCCUGCAUCCCUGGGAUGAAACCCACUUGAUCAUGAUAGAUGAUCGUUUUGACGUGUUCUUGGAUUUGGUUUUCGAGAAUUUUAUUGAGUAUUUUUGUAUUGAUAUUCAUAAGGGAAAUUGGUCUGAAGUUCUCUUUCUUUGUUGGGUGUGGUUUAGAUAUCAGAGUAGUUGUGACUUCAUAGAACAAACUGGGUAGAGUACCUUCUGUUUCUAUUUUAUGGUAUAGUUUGAGGAGUAUUAGAAUUAGGUCCUUUUUGAAGGUCUGAUAGAGCUCUGCACUAAACCCAUCAGGUUCUGGGCUUUUUUUUGGUUGGGAGACUAUUAAUGACUGUUUCUAUUUCUUUAGGGGAUAUGGGACUGUUUAGAUCAUUAAUCUGAUCCUGAUUUUACUUUGGCACCUGGUAUCUGUCUAGAAACUUGUCCAUUUCAUCCAGGUUUUCCAGUUUUGUUGAGUAUAGGCUUUCGUAGUAGGAUCUGAUGAUUUUUUGGAUUUCCUCAGAUUCUGUUGUUAUGUCUCCUUUUUCAUUUCUGAUUUUGUUAAUUAGUAUACUGUCCCUGUGCCCUCUAGUUAGUCUGGCUAAGGGUUUAUCUAUCUUGUUGAUUUUUCUCAAAGAAUCAGCUUCUGGUAUGGUUGAUUCUUUGAAUAGUUCUUUUUGUUUCUAUUUGGUUGAUUUCAGCCCUGAGUUUGAUUAUUUGGUGCCUUCUACUCCUCUUGGGUGAGUUUGCUUCCUUUUGUUCUAGAGCUUUUAGGUUUGCUGUCAAGCUCCUCGUGUAUGCUCUCUCCAGAUUCUUUUUGAAGGCACUCAGAGCUAUGAUUCUAACUUUUAGGGACUGCUUCAUUGUGUUUCAUAAGUUUGGAUAUGUUGUGGCCCCUUCUCAUUAAACUCUAAAAAGUCUUUAACUUCUCUCUUUAUAACCAGUCUUCCAAACAAAGGAAAGAUAAGGAAUAUCUGACUGUGCUCUUCUUUCCAGGGGGGCAUUCACACUAAUAUGUAGGCUUAAGUGAUUUGCUUCUUUAAAAGG
rnacentral:lncRNA from 1 species